rnacentral:rRNA from 1 species
AUGGGUGGGUCAGACCCUGCGCCGCGCCUUGGGGCGCCUGAGGCCCCCUCCCCCGCCUCCGCCCCCGGCAAGGCCCCUGCGCGCCCACCCUCCCCCGCCUCCACCACGGGCCGCACCAGCGGCUGCUGCUGGCGGCGGCAGAAGUCCUCCCCAGGAUCGGCUCGACGUGCCACAUGGUAUGACGGCUUCUGCUUUUUUCUUGGAUCUCGCUUAGCAUUCUCGUGCUCGCAAAGCUACCUGAGACAAAGGAUUAGGAGGGCGGCCAGUGAUGAGGUAGGACGCUGGGCAGAGAGAUGGCGGUCGUGCGGGAGUAACCUGGAUCCUGCAGCCGGCAGUGUGAGGAGCGAAUCGAGACGCCGCCAGGUCGUGCCCGACCUUGCGGGUGCAGGCCAACAGCAGCCGAUGACCCUCUCCCGUCUGCUGCACCUCCCUCUCCUAUUUCCUCCCACUUUCUCCAUCGGCAGUGGCGGCGGCGGCGGCAAGAGGAAAGAGGGUCGCGGGGGGAGACGCGGGCUAGGUCUCGCUCUCGCUGCCCACUCGCUUCGCCCCUUCUUAUCUCGCUGCUCGCCGAUUUUGUUCUUCGAGUGGCGCACUCGCUGUACUGAUGGUAUGACGGCUUCUGCUUUUUUCUUGGAUCUCUCUUAG